rnacentral:RNase_P_RNA from 1 species
ACAGAAAAUAUACCACCUCCUGAAGCGCCGGGCUUGCCCGAACGUGUCAAGAGGUAAGGGUGAAAUGGCGGGGUAAGAGCCCACCGCCCUGACGGCAACGCCAGGGGCACGGCAAACCCCAUCCGGUACAAGACCAAGUAAAGGGGGAUGAGGCUGCCCGCUUCGCCAUUACCCCAGGGUAGGUUGCUUGAGGUCCGCCGUGAGGCGGAUCCCAGACAGAUGGCUGCACAAAUACAGAACCCGGCUUACAGGCCCGCUCCUUUU